UGGGGAAUUUUGGACAAUGGGCGCAAGCCUGAUCCAGCCAUGCCGCGUGCGGGAAGAAGGCCUUCGGGUUGUAAACCGCUUUUGUCAGGGAAGAAAUCUUCUGAGUUAAUACCUCGGGAGGAUGACGGUACCUGAAGAAUAAGCACCGGCUAACUACGUGCCAGCAGCCGCGGUAAUACGUAGGGUGCAAGCGUUAAUCGGAAUUACUGGGCGUAAAGCGUGCGCAGGCGGUUUUGUAAGACAGAGGUGAAAUCCCCGGGCUCAACCUGGGAACUGCCUUUGUGACUGCAAGGCUUGAGUGCGGCAGAGGGGGGAUGGAAUUCCGCGUGUAGCAGUGAAAUGCGUAGAUAUGCGGAGGAACACCGAUGGCGAAGGCAAUCCCCUGGGCCUGCACUGACGCUCAUGCACGAAAGCGUGGGGAGCAAAACAGGAUUAGAUACCCUGGUAGUCCACGCCCUAAACGAUGUCAACUGGUUGUUGGGAAGGUUCCUUCUCAGUAACGUAGCUAACGCGUGAAGUUGACCGCCUGGGGAGUACGGCCGCAAGGUUGAAAACUC
rnacentral:rRNA from 1 species